rnacentral:rRNA from 1 species
AGAUUGAACGCUGGCGGCAUGCCUUACACAUGCAAGUCGAACGGUAGAGUAGCAAUACUCGAGAGUGGCGAACGGGUGAGUAAUAUAUCGGAACGUGCCCAGUCGUGGGGGAUAACGUAGAGAAAUUUACGCUAAUACCGCAUACGAUCUAAGGAUGAAAGCGGGGGAUCGCAAGACCUCGCGCGAUUGGAGCGGCUGAUAUCAGAUUAGGUUGUUGGUGAGGUAAAAGCUCACCAAGCCGACGAUCUGUAGCUGGUUUGAGAGAACGACCAGCCACACUGGGACUGAGACACGGCCCAGACUCCUACGGGAGCAGCAGUGGGAAUUUUGGACAAU